rnacentral:lncRNA from 1 species
CCAGGAUAAAUGGACAGGCUCUCCAGUUUCCUGUUUUCUUCUUGUUAGCAGGUUUAUUGCGAUAAUCUACUGUCCCAUCUUUCGUACAGUUAUCUUCAUCUUCUUUGAUGGCAAGUGGUUUCAUGCUCGAUUUUGUAUCUUGCAUUGUUUUGUGAUUUCUGUAAUGGCCAAGAAGAAACACGAAAAAACCCCAACAGAAUUAACUUCNNNNNNNNNAACGUACCAAACACACAGUCUAUAGUAGAAGAGGGUACGUACUGAAGUUCAUCUGUGUGAUCGAGCUUGCGGCUGCCUACUAUAACGGAUUCUGCAUUGGAAGUCUCGUAUAGAAGAGACUUGUCCUCAGGUACCAUAACUCGAGUUUUUCUCAGUGUGGCUACCACCACCUUGCAGAGACGCGUAAGAGGGCUGCCACCGGGUUUCUGGUACCGAAAAAGUCGAGUACCUGAAAAGAAAAAGGCCACAGCUAUUGCCAUAGCCACAGCAGGAAUACCGAAUCCCCAUCCCCAACCAAUGUUGACUUGUAUCCAAACAAUCACAGAGGAGGCAAUAAGUGCACCAAUAUUGAUUGAAAAAUAGAACCAAUUGAAGAAAUAACUUUUGUGCUUCUUCUCAGCCUCAUCAGUGUCAUCAAAUUGAUCUGCACCGUAUGAUGAGACACAUGGCUUAAUCCCACCGGUUCCGAGUGCUAUCAGAUAGAGUGCAAGAAAACAGACUGAUGUUUGAGCAUGUGUUGCAGUACAGACAUCUUUCUUUAAACAAGUUGGCCUCAGGCCGGAUACUGUUGCUGAUAGUGUCAAUAGUGUCAUUCCCUGUUGAUAGAAUUUAGCAAUGGGUAAAUAGUUGACAAGACCUAGGGAUGAGAAGUGCUAUCUUUCUAAAGAUUUAAGCUUUUAGACGAGGCGAUCAAAUAUAACAACAACAAAUUAAGCCCGAUUUUCAGUAACUUCACGGUUCAUUUUCUUUCCAAUUUGUUCAGUUCGUCACUACCUCUACUAAAAGAAACAGAUAGUUGAACUUACGAUAACAUAGAUGGUCGAAAAGCUGGCAAUAGUCCAAUAUCUUCCUAAAUAUGCAUCAGCAAGAAAAGCUCCAAGUAAUGGCAUAACAUAGCAAGUACCCGACCAAUUCGACAGAUUUUUCGAAGCAGUAACACUGUGUUGAUUGAGUUGAUUUGUGAAAUAAAGAAGCAAAUUGGAGCUCAUUCCAUAGUAUGCUAAUCUUUCACAACAUUCAUUUCCUGCAGAAAAAUAUUCAAUACUCAGUAAGCAGUGUUAUUACCAGAAAUGACUUAAUUUGGAAGAAUUAAGAAUGAAAAUAACUAACCCAGGAUAAAUGGACAGGCUCUCCAGUUUCCUGUUUUCUUCUUGUUAGCAGGUUUAUUGCGAUAAUCUACUGUCCCAUCUUUCGUACAGUUAUCUUCAUCUUCUUUGAUGGCAAGUGGUUUCAUGCUCGAUUUUGUAUCUUGCAUUGUUUUGUGAUUUCUGUAAUGGCCAAGAAGAAACACGAAAAAACCCCAACAGAAUUAACUUCAAUUUUGAGGUACUUCGAUAUAAUCCAUAUUUUCUCUAUGUUGUAAUCCUGGAAAUCAGAAUUUAAAUGUUGUGAAACUUCAACAAGAUGGUCAUAUUGCAUGGCAUGUUUAGUACAUAUCCACUAGAUAUGGCUGGACUUAAUAACUGAAAUUUGCCUCAUUUGAUAGUGUCGAGUCGUUCCAUUCAGUAUACCAACACGUCCUAAGAAC